CUUUAAAUGCACGAAAGUGUGAUAAGGGAACUCUAAGUGCUUAUGCUUUGCAUAGGCUUUUGCCAAAAUUAAAUCUUUUGGCGAAUAAGUGGUGGGCAAGACUGGUGCCAGCCGCCGCGGUAACACCAGCGCCACAAGUGGGAACCAUCUUUAUUGGGCCUAAAGCGUCCGUAGCCGAUUUGGUAAAUUUUCUGUGAAAUUGUUGUGCUUAACAUAACAACGUGCAGAAAAGACUACUAAAAUUGGAACUGGGAGGAGUCAGAAGUAUUUCAGGGGGAGCGGUAAAAUGCUAUAAUCCCUGAAGGACUACCUGUGGCGAAAGCGUCUGACUAGAACAGAUUCGACGGUGAGGGACGAAAGCCAGGGGAGCAAUCCGGAUUAGAUACCCGAGUAGUCCUGGCCAUAAACGCUGCGAGCUAGGUGUUGCAUAUUCUCCGUGAAUAUGCAGUGUCGAAGAGAAGUCGUUUAGCUCGCCGCCUGGGAAGUAUGGUCGCAAGGCUGAAACUUAAAGGAAUUGGCGGGGGAGCAC
rnacentral:rRNA from 1 species